rnacentral:rRNA from 1 species
CCUACGGGGGGCAGCAGUGGGGAAUAUUGGACAAUGGGGGGAACCCUGAUCCAGCCAUGCCGCGUGUGUGAAGAAGGCCCUCGGGUUGUAAAGCACUUUCAGUGAGGAAGAACGCCUGGUGGUUAAUACCCAUCAGGAAAGACAUCACUCACAGAAGAAGCACCGGCUAACUCCGUGCCAGCAGCCGCGGUAAUACGGAGGGUGCGAGCGUUAAUCGGAAUUACUGGGCGUAAAGCGCGCGUAGGUGGCUUGAUAAGCCGGUUGUGAAAGCCCCGGGCUCAACCUGGGAACGGCAUCCGGAACUGUCAAGCUAGAGUGCAGGAGAGGAAGGUAGAAUUCCCGGUGUAGCGGUGAAAUGCGUAGAGAUCGGGAGGAAUACCAGUGGCGAAGGCGGCCUUCUGGACUGACACUGACACUGAGGUGCGAAAGCGUGGGUAGCACACAGGAUUAGAUACCCGAGUAGUC